CCUACGGGAGGCAGCAGUGAGGAAUAUUGGUCAAUGGACGAGAGUCUGAACCAGCCAAGUAGCGUGAAGGAUGACUGCCCUAUGGGUUGUAAACUUCUUUUAUAUGGGAAUAAAAUGUUCCACGUGUGGGAUUUUGUAUGUCCCAUAUGAAUAAGGAUCGGCCAACUCCGUGCCAGCAGCCGCGGUAAUACGGAGGAUCCGAGCGUUCUCCGGAUUUUUUGGGUUUAAAGGGGGCGUAGGUGGGUUGUUAAGUCAGGUGUGAAAGUUUGCGGCUCAACCGUAAAAUUGCAGUUGAAACUGGCAGUCUUGAGUACAGUAGAGGUGGGCGGAAUGCGUGGUGUAGCGGUGAAAUGCUUAGAUAUCACGAAGAACUCCGAUUGCGAAGGCAGCUCACUGGACUGCAACUGACACUGAGGCUCGAAAGUGUGGGUAUCAAACAGGAUUAGAUACCCGAGUAGUC
rnacentral:rRNA from 1 species